rnacentral:lncRNA from 13 species
UCAUACAAGGUAGAUAAAAUACUUGAUUUUGGUUUAAUAUACUCUGAAGAAGGGUGUGUGUAUGCUCUCCUGAAAUCUAAUACUUGGAGCUCUGGUAGACACACAGCAUAUUACACACUGUGCAGGUAGACACACAGCAUAUUACACACUGUGCAGGCAGACACAGCAUAUUACACACUGUGCAGGUAGACACACAGCAUAUUACACACUGUGCAGGCAGACACAGCAUAUUACACACUGUGCAGGUAGACACACAGCAUAUUACACACUGUGCAGGUAGACACACAGCAUAUUACACACUGUGCAGGCAGACACACAGCAUAUUACACACUGUGCAGGCAGACACAAAGCAUAU